AAAUGCACAUACAUAGUAUAAACUAGGGGUGUCACGAUUCUCUAAAUCCUCGAUUCGAUUUCAUUUUCGAUUUGAGGGUCACGAUUCGAUUCGAUUCUCGAUUUUCUUGUUUUUUUUUCUUAUUAUUUUAUGCGUCAUAAAAUUUAAAUAAUAUAUUUAUUAUUAUUAUUAUUAUUAUUAUUAUAAAUAUUAUAAAUAUUAUUAUUAUUAUUUAUUAAGAUAUAUAUGGUAAUGCCAUCUAGUGACUUUUUUUGGUAGCAACAGUGUGCACUAUUAAAACAAGCAGUUUAUCAGAGCUGUGUGUGGAUGGCUGGUGAAACUGCUCACUUACAUGAAGCUGCAGUUCUUCAUCCAACCACUAGCCGGAGCUGCAGCAGCAGCACAAGCCCAGCCACGGGCUACAGAGCUCAGCCAGUCCGUUUUUACUGUUUCUGUAAACAAAUAAAGGUUUUAACCCCACUAACCGGAUAAUACAGCUCACUACAGUUCAUCUUUCAGCCCAAGCAGCUAACAGCAGCAGAUUAGAACAGCCGACACGGAGGCACUGCUCGGAUUACAUUAUAAACAGGUCAGUUAGCGCGCUGCUAACCUCAGGAUGUUUAUAACUACGGAGUUUAGUGGACACACCACGGCCGCCAGGUAAGUCUUUUAAAGGCUACUGAAGACUAUUAAAGGCUAUUAGAGUGUAACCCCUGGCUCCCAGGGGUUACAAGAGGUUAUUGAAAGCAUUAUUGGGGGGCAGAAAUCAGUACAGGCUGGUUAGAUAAGUGAUGUGGGUAUUGUCUUAUAAAUAUUUACACAUAACUUAUCUCUCUCCUGAAAAGCUUUUAUUUUAGUCAGAAACACGCUUGUGUUUACUUUAUCUGAGAGAAAGAUGUUUUUUUAAUUCAAUGGAAAGCAACAGGUGUAGUCAAUUAUAAGUUUAAGAUUUUUAAUCCACCUCACUGUGAUCUAUAGUCAGUGUUCUCAAGUCACACUGACACACGCAUUUCAGCGAGUUCACACGCUCUCACCUGCGCGCACCCACCCCUCCGUUAGAUACAGAUACAAAACCUGCGCGCCCAACCCCCGCCCCCCCUCCCCCGUUGGACAGAUAAAAACAGUGAUCACACUCCCGCCGACUGCGCUCAUGCAGUGGCUAUCUCUAUUUAAAUGAAUAGGAUGCGCUGUGUUGGUGCCGCGCCAUUUGCGUAGCUCGCCGCGCUAUUUGCGUAGCGCGCGCGGGAGGGAUCGUCGAUCCUCUUUUUGACUUCGAUGCUCGAGAUCGUGACCUCAUUUCGAUUCGAUUUCGAUAAAAUAUCGAGAUCGUGACACCCCUAGUAUAAACACACCCAAACCACUUCAGGAGGUGGUCUAAGACACAUACAGUAG
rnacentral:lncRNA from 1 species